rnacentral:lncRNA from 1 species
GAUAAUCCGGCACUGCUACGCAGUAAAAUCAAUUGCGCAAUAUGAUAUAGGUUGCCAUAUUGACAAAUGGGUUGAAUAUGGUAUAGUGUAUUUAUUGUGUAAGACAUGAUUGCGUUUCAUACAGAAAUGACAUAACGGAAGGGGGCGGGAGAUGGGUCAGAGAGUACGGGAGAAACCCGGGAAAAACGGGAGAGUUGGCAGGUAUGGUCUGCGUAUUAGAGCGUAUGGGAAAGUUAACGAAAAGUAACAGCCCCAUACACACAUAAUGAAAGGACUAAAGGAGACAUCAAUUAUUUUUCCCUGGACAGCCGUGAGUGUGACGACAAAGGAGAGGUCACUCCAGAGACUGUUCAGAAACCGAAACACCUCAACCAAAAACCUUUCACUUCCAGUCUCCAAAGUAUUUCAUGAGGAGAUGAUUGUUGAUGAUUUUCAUGUGUCACAUCAUGUGACGAGUGGGAAAUCCUCCACCAUAAAAACACUGCUAAUUAUAAUACUACAGUGUCGAUUUGUUGCUGCUACAGACCCCAACUGUCCGUAUAUCCCAAUCAUUAAGGAGUGGGCUAAUAGCAUCCCCAGAGAUUUUCGAUUAGAGAUUCCACUCGGCUGUGGUGAUAAGAUCAGCUGUGACGAUCUCCUACGGGCCCUUGUUAACAGCUACUGCAUGAACAGGAAUUGCAGUGAUGAUAAGCCCAAUACGUCUUGCAAUGAAACUAAUAAAAAAACAAAGACGUUGAUUUACUGCUUGAAUGAUAAUUAUUCUAUCUCCUGCCAGGAGCCCCUAGGGUUUCAAAACCCAAGGAUAUAUAUGUUAGUGAAUGAUACAGAUUUCACCCAUAACAUUCAAGGUUGUCUCAUGGACAAGGUGCCAGGUGCACCAACAACAGUUACCCCCGGCAGUACACCCACCUCCUCCACCCCCACCACAUCUUCUAUCAUCACAGAUAGUACACAGUCCCCAACGCCUUCCCAUGCCUCUCACACCUCAGAACAAUUUAGUGCGACAUCUGGAUAUGGUAUGCUGGUCAUACUGUUGACAUCUCUGGGUUUAAACAUAACAUUGUCAUGGUUGUUACUGAAGCAGAGAAGCCGCCACCAACAGCAACCCAUAAACCUAAGUCUAGACUAUGGUUAG